UGUUGUGACCGGUGAGGGUUGUUAUAGAAGGAGCAAGCCUGCCCAUCCGCUUUCUCUUCACUCCUAGUCAAUGUGUGACUGUUUGCUCUAAUGCACACUUCUACCAUGGGUCACCACCAUCUCACCAGAGGCCAAAUCAGUGGGACUUCCUGUCUGAGAUCUUCAACUUUGAAGACUGUCUGAGUUCAUGGGCCCAAGAAGGAAGAACCGUCUCACAAGCCCACAGGAGGGUCGCAGGUGCUUGAGACUAUUUACACAUCAAAGAAGAGACUUUGGGGCACAGGCUUCUGAGCCUACUCUCUCUCCUCUUGAGUGUGGGAGAUUCCGUGAGAUUCACUUCUCGUCCGAAGAAUGCAGCAGAGCUGAUGGAAUAUGACUGUCAAGGGCAGGUUUAGAACACACUGUCCUGCUCUCUCCUUUGGAUGCCGUACUCUUCAGGAAGCAGCUGCCAUGUCAUGAGGACACUCAAGCAGCACCGGGAAGAGGCCCAAGUGGUUGAGGUACUGAGGCCUCCUUUCCAGAUUCCCUGGAGAGCGCCAUCUUGGAAGCAGAUCUUCCGGCCCUAGUCAAGCCAAAGAAUGACUGCCACCUCGUGAGAUACCUGAGCCAGAACCACCCAGCCAAGCUGCUCUUAAAUUAUU